AUUGAACGCUGGCGGCAGGCCUAACACAUGCAAGUCGAGCGGAGCGGCGGACGGGUGAGUAAUGACUAGGAAUCUGCCUGGUAGUGGGGGAUAACGUCCGGAAACGGGAGAUAAUAUCGAAUACUAUCAGAUGAGCCUAGGUCGGUUUAGCUAGUUGGUGGGUUAAAGGCCUACCAAGGCGACGAUCCGUAACUGGUCUGCGAGGAUGAUCAGUAACACUGGAACUGAGGCACGGUCCAGAAUCCUACGUGAGGCAGCAGUGGGGAAUAGUGGACGAUGGGCGAAAGCCUGAUCCAGCCAUGCCGCGUGUGUGAAGAAGGUCUUCGGAUUAUAAAGCACGUUAAGUUGGGAGGCGUGAGCAACAGAAUAAGCACCGGCUAACUACGUGCCAGCCGCCGCGGUAAUAC
rnacentral:rRNA from 1 species